ACCGUAAUGCGGGCCAGGGGGGGGAGGAGGACGGAGGGGGCGAGCGGUGGUCGGAAGCAUUGGGGGUAAAGGGCGCGUAGGCGGCCGGUGUAGUCGGACGGGAAAACCCGCGGCUCGACUGGGGGACGUGUGCCGAUACUGGUCGGCUCGAGUCCUGGAGAGGGUAGUGGAAUUCCCAGUGUAGCGGUGAAAUGCGUAGAUACUGGGAGGAACAUCGGUGGCGAAGGCGGCUACCUGGACAGGUACUGACGCUGAGGCGCGAAAGCUAGGGGAGCAAACAGGAUUAGAUACCCUGGUAGC
rnacentral:rRNA from 1 species